rnacentral:misc_RNA from 1 species
AACGCACAUUGCGCCCGCCAGUAUUCUGGCGGGCAUGCCUGUCCGAGCGUCAUUUCCCCCCUCACGCGCCCCGUUGCGCGCUGGUGUUGGGGCCCCUCCGCCUGGCGGAGGGCCCCGAAAGCGAGUGGCGGGCCCGGCUGGCUGGCUCCGAGCGCAGUACUGAACGCAAGUUCUCUCCUCUCGCUACGGAAGCCCCGCCGGCGCCCUGCCAUGCAAAUCGCGCAUGACGUGCAACUCUUUUUUACAAGGUUGACCUCGGAUCAGGUAGGACUACCCGCUGAACUUAA